rnacentral:rRNA from 1 species
GGGUUGUGAGGUUAAGCGACUAAGCGUACACGGUGGAUGCCCUGGCAGUCAGAGGCGAUGAAGGACGUGCUAAUCUGCGAUAAGCGUCGGUAAGGUGAUAUGAACCGUUAUAACCGGCGAUUUCCGAAUGGGGAAACCCAGUGUGAUUCGUCACACUAUCGUUAACUGAAUACAUAGGUUAACGAAGCGAACCGGGGGAACUGAAACAUCUAAGUACCCCGAGGAAAAGAAAUCAACCGAGAUUCCCCCA